AAAAAAAAAAAAAAAGGCUUGCAACUAAAAAAACACGAGCGAUACAGAGAAAGGGAAGGAGAGAAAAAAAAAAAAAGCUUGCGAUACAGGGGAGAGACAGAGUUCGUGCGGCCGGCCAUCACCAUUCCUUGCCAGACUUAGACCACCGGAACCGGCACCGGUAACCUAAAGGUGCAUGCAGGAAUUGAGAUGCGGAGAUAGAGAGAACUACCACCGGUAUUUGGGUUACAUUUAGUUUGGAUUUUAAAAGAGAAGAGAUAAAUUACUGAAAGGAUGCGUUGUUAAGGCACAGGGGAGAAAGACAGACAUCUCAGGGCCGGUACUACCGUCGGCCUCCAACCACAAGGAAACUUUAUUUCUUCUGCCGUCGUACCGCCGGAGCUAUUAUUGGGUGGAAAGGCCAAGCCUUUGAGGCAACCCAAAGUCUAAGAAGAAUGGGUUUAAUUUUUUUGUUUGUUGAGAAACCUCCCCCGUUGCAGUUGGUUGGCCAAUCAUUAAUUCUAUUAAUGAUUGGAUUUAGAAUGUCAUGUUAGUUGGGUAAUAAUAUGGUUUUAAGUUGCAGAAGUAUCUAACAAUGAUUUAUCAUAUAUAUUUUGAAUUUGAGGUAAUGUAACUACUACAAAUGCUUAGUCACAUAAAAAUAUUAAUAGAGAAAGACAAAAGGAUAUGUAGUAUGUUAUUCAGCUGAAGUUAUGGUUGAUAGGGCUGAUAGCAAGGCAAGUUAUUCUUUUUGGAAAAUUUUUAAAUGAGCCAAAAGCAACUUCUAAAUUGAGUUCUAUUUGUAAUAUUGCACUUUAUGUAUAUACUAAUGUUUCUCCUGUAAUUAUGUGACUCAUAUGGAUUUGUUGUGCUAGGGAAAUCAUGGUCCAAUCCCAAUACUUUUUUGCAGUGCAUUUGCAUCAAGUAGAAUUCAUGUAUGUAAUUUCAGCCAAUCUGAUUUAGAUAUGGGAAUAAGGAAAAAGUAUACCACUAAUGCUUGGGAAGCCUAAGUAUACCACUGAUAAUAUAGCAGUCCUAUAGGUAAGUGCUCUGCUUAUAAUCCUUUUGGAGAUUACUUUAUGGGGAUAUUUAGAUUUUCUUAAGAAUUUUGAUUCAUGGGAACUGUUUUUGUUAAGGUGGUGAUGUCAUUGUUACAAAAAGAGGAAAAUGAAGUUUAUAAGAGGCCUAAAUCUGGGAUAAAGAAAGGGUAUUUCUUUCCCCAUUGUUAGGAAGUUUGAAUAUGCAAAAUAUUGAUAACCUAAUAAAUUUUUGUUAGUUAUGUUGUCACUUUUGUUUGUGUCAUCAACCUAAAAGGUAUAAGGUACUGUGAUUGAUAAAUUAAAGUGCUUCUUAAGAACUUUUUAUACAUUUAUUUUUAUCCUACUUAGUUUCUGAAAAUAUUUUUUUCAUCUAUUCUUUGUUUGCCAAUAUCUGUUUCUUUCUAAUGGUCAAGGUUUCAGUGAGUUAUUUGUCAAAGUUAUAUAUUGUGUUGAAUUCUUUUUUAUUUUAUUUAUCAUUUGCAUCUCUUUUUAAAAAGAAAAGUUUUGCACAUCACUUUUUAAAAAAGAUAGCAUCCUAAGGCCGUGGAAGGUAAUUAGAAGAAGCCAAUAUAUAUAUAUAUAUAUAUAUAUUGGCAGUGUAUGCCUAAGUUUUUGUUGGCUUGGUUCCUUAUAGAUAUCAUCUUAAGGCCGUGGAAGGUAAUUAGAAGAAGCCAAUAUAUAUAUAUAUAUAUAUAUAUAUAUAUAUAUAUUUUGGCAGUGUAUGCCUAAGUUUUUGUUGGCUUGGUUCCUUAUUUCUUUGCCAUAGUCAAACAUUCUAUAUAUUUGUUUUUGCUUUUUAUAUUUUUUGUUGGCUUGAUGAGCGCAGGGGAAAGUUUCCAAAUUCUUAUUAAACUUGCAAGAUUAUGAAUACCCACACACCAUUUUGAUAUACAAUUCUUUCUGUUUCUCUCUGAAUUCAGUUAUGCCAGAUUAUUUUUGUCCAAGAUCAGUAUUAUGUGAAAGCAGCAUGUUGAUUCGUCAGUGAAGACCAAAAAAAGGAACUGUUUCUGUGGCAUCUACAUUUGCUUCUCAUCAAGAAGGCAUACGUUGAUUUUGAAAUAUUAGAGGAGUUUGAAAGGACCAAAGAGCUUUAUGAACGACUUUUGGACAGAUUAAAGCACCCGAAGGUAGAAGAUGUGAUACCCAAAAUUGGCCAUUAUACAAGUCAAAGAUUCAAUAGUUUUGGAGCUUGAAAUCCCUAAACCAAUGCAAUACAACCAAUUGCGUCGAGAGGUAAUUUUUAAUAGGCUCAUAUGGAGCACAAUUCAAGUGCGGGGAGUUCUUCACAAUGUUGCAUUGAUAUUGCCAAAGCCUUGAAUGCCCCAAUCCAUAUAAAAUCUGAUGAUAUGGAGGUUGUUCAUGUUUAUGAGCUUCGAGCUUAGUGGCACAAGACUUUCCACUUAUAUGUGGUUGAUUUAAUCUGUUUUCAUCGUUAUAAUAUGUAAGAUAUAUAUAUACAAGAAUUGUUUGAUAAUUAAUAUUUAGUAUGAGUUACUUCUCUCGCUCUUUAGUCAAAUUGUAUUCUCUUGAUAUUUUUCCCUUCAUAUUUUAUUUUUUAAUUUUAUUGUCCUCAUGCAGAAUGAGUACCGUGUACUCUUUUCUAAUAUAUUUUCUUAUUAGCAUUUGUAUAUUAGAGGAAGCUUUCAAUAAAUGUCCUUAAUUCUUCUACCUUUUUGCUAUAUUGAUAUGUCACAAUUUAAUUUUGUUAAACUAUCCUGUGCAUCACAUGUGUUAGCGACUAGUAUAUAUCUAAAAGUUGAAGUGUAGCAUUUAUUGUUGCUACGCUCUUGUUGAGCUAUAUCAACGGUCACAUCAUCUAACUAUUUCCCAUUUCUCUCCACUACUUCCAACCAUAACUUCUCUUUUUUCUUUUCAUCUCUUCACUACUCUCAACCUUAAUGUCACUCUUUGUCUAUCUCUUCCUCUUCCUUUUAUUUUGACUAUUUGACGUAGGACAAGGGGGAACAACAAUCUCUUAUUUAGAACACCAGGGGCAGAUCUGGUAUAGCUUGGGUUUUGAAGAAUUAGGGUUAGCUUUUGGUGGGGAAGAGGGAUAAUAGGGUUUCCAAAAGGCAAAAGGAUUAGUAGGGUUUGGAGAUGAAAUAAAGGAAAACAAUCAAGGUUUAGGUGGCUAUUCUUGUGUUGUGAAUAGUGAUCUGUGAAUAGUAAUCGUGAAUAAUAAAAUUAAAGAAAGUAGAUAAAUUCUAGGAAUCAUACCUAGACUUCCUAAGCAGCACACUUAGGGUUCCUUGGCAUCACACCUCGGAGAAGGUUGCAUCACACAAACCAUAAAAGAAAGAUUCAUAGCUCUUAAAUUCUGAAAACAUUCAUUAAUAAUCAACUCAAUAAAAAGUACUACAACCCUUUAAAUAGAAGACUUAUACCUAAACUUAGUUGAACUAGGAUUUCUUAAAACCCUAAUAAGACUAAGACUUGGACUCCUUGGGCUUUAUUACUCAACCCAAACUAAAUAACCAAGCUUUAAAUAAAACUAAAGUAAGACCCAAUAGACUAUAAGCACAGCCCAUUCUAGAAUAUUAGGAAAUUACAAAAUUGCCCUUGAUACAUAAAAUCAAAUAAAAUAUAAGAAAUCUAUCUUCCCACUGCCUCUUGCAUCACUAUUCAUAUCCCCAUUCUAUUACUAUAAAGAUGACAUUUUCACUCCUAUUCUAUACAUAUUUACUCACACGAAAAGGGUUAUUACACACACACUCUCUCUCUCUCAUGUUUUAUUUUUGUGUGAAUAUUUUAUUUUUUGUAUCUCUACUUUAGAUUGAUGUAUUUAUGACUUCUUUAGAAUUUUAC